UACGUAGGGUGCGAGCGUUGUCCGGAAUUAUUGGGCGUAAAGGAGCUUGUAGGCGGUCUGUCGCGUCUGCUGUGAAAUCCGGGGCUCAACCCCGGACUUGCAGUGGGUACGGGCAGACUAGAGUGUGGUAGGGGAGACUGGAAUUCCUGGUGUAGCGGUGAAAUGCGCAGAUAUCAGGAAGAACACCCGUGGCGAAGGCGGCUCUCUGGGACGGUACUGACGCUGAGA
rnacentral:rRNA from 1 species